UUUUUAUUUUAUUUUUCUUCCAUUU
rnacentral:sRNA from 1 species